UCAAGCAUUAUUCACAUAUAAACACAAACUAAAGAUUUCAAUAGAAGAACAAAAUGGCUUCCAAUAAGAAGUACUUAACAAUUUUAGCAAUUGUCUUGUAUCUUAUGCUUUUCCUUUCAACCUUUGGGGUAGCAAGGAUUUUGAUUCCAAAUGGAAAUAAGAAUGCCCUAGAGACCAAGGUUAUUGUAGCAGGACGAAUUGUACGACGAGAUUUAGCACAUGGAGGAAAUUAUGGCCCGGGAAUCCAGUGAGAUAAUAUUAUGAACUAGUUUUGUUAGUGAAUUUCUUUUGUGAAAACUUAAAAGUAGUGUAACGUGGUUAUUGAUGUUCUAUAUCGGUUGUGUUUGAACUUUCGCUUUUUAAAGUAUCAAUGAUUUGAAAUUAAAAAAAA